UGGAAGGGCAGCGCCACUGGAAAUGCGAUAUAACUUCCCCCAUUCAAUCUUUAUUUCUCACAAAGGAUUUAAGACCUCUUGAUAAGCCUCAUUCAUAACUAACCGUACCCUUGUUAACUGAAACAAAAUGAAAUUAAAUAUAAUACUAAUAAUCGCGCAACCAAUGACAAUGCCAGUGCGCACAUCGCGCCUCGUUCCUAGUCUAUAUAAACGCGACAGACUGAGCGCGCGCGCUUCCCUGAUCCGUCCAGUGUACCCGGAAGCGAAGCGACGGAAGUGAAUGCAGACCUGCUCUGACCGUUGAAAUCCGCUAGAACUGCGCAGGAGGACAAGGAAACCGGCAAUGACAAGAGAGAGACUGGAAUUAUUAUCACUGCCAUUGGACCGGAAACCAGGAAGUUCAACCGCGUGCAUCUGAUAAAUGCGCGAGCAGACGAGGCAGAAUGACGGACAGAGAGUCAGACAUAACCAGAGAAAGAGUGCGACAUGCAGAGAUACACAGAUAAAUGGCAAGGAGACAUAACGACAGGUGAAUGCUGUAUGGGUAGAAAGACAAUUAUUAAAAAAUAGAGAGAUAUAAGGGUGUUCCAUGAUUUUAAAUUUUAAUAAGUUGUCAUUAUUGUUGUAUAAUGCGAUGACUGAAAUGAGCUUGAGCGAAAGGACCGUUUAAGAUAAUAUGCUCUUAUAGUUUUGUAUUUCCAUAAUUUCCCAUUGUACAAUCUCUCCAACACCUUUAUCCCGUUGCAAGCAGAAGUAAAAUAUUAUGUGGGCAAGAAGAAAGUGAGAUUGUCUUAAAUUUAAAUCAGCAGCUAUGGUUAAUAGCAUUUUAAUCUGAUUCAGUCUGGAUCAAUCCAACCAAUUUGACCACAAUGGCACUUUGGUCAAGAUUGAUUCCACAUGCGCCCUCAACUUUGGCUAUAAAUAAAUGACAGGUGCUUUAACAGA